GACCAGAUGGUGUAUGGGCAACACAUCUGCAAUACAUGCCGUGAAUGUAGAACAUUAACCUCGACGCAUUACGCAGAAGAGCCCCGUUCGAUUCGGGGUCUGGUUG